GAGACACCCCAAUGGAGCAGGACUUGCUUCAGUGGGGCUUUGGUGCUCACUGAGUCUGCCCUUUGAGUGUGUAGCU
rfam:Myotis brandtii contig204304, whole genome shotgun sequence.